rnacentral:lncRNA from 1 species
AUACGGUAAAUGGAAGGGCACUUUAAAGUCUCCUUAAACCUAUAAAUAUUGGCUAUGAAUGAUACUUGAAAGUUAGGAUUGGUAUGACGAUUUCAAUAUCAAUAUCCUUGAUUAAUAAAUGGAUAAUGGUUUGGUUAUUUUGAAAUUGGUUUUAAUUAGGCAAUAAUAGAGGGAGAUGUAUCUAAGUCAAGGAAGGUGGAGGUGCCGGG